CAGUCCCCAAACGGCGGGGGCAGGAAUGGAGGGAACCCGGUAAAAGUGCACGCCCUGCGGGCCGGCGUGGGUGAGGAAGUCGGGACCGGCCUACACUCUGGCGUUCUAGAAAGCGGGUACUGCUGGGUCCCAAGCAGGGAAGGAGGAAGAGCGCGAGCCACAACUCCAGAAGUGCCUCAAGGAAGGAGGUGGGUAGCUCAGGGACCACCCGGAGGGGAGGGGUCCAUCUCCUUCCGCCCGGCUUCCGGCCGCCCCCUGAGAUCAGAACUCAGGAAUGCACAGCCAAAGACAGCCGGAGAGGGGACACACCGCUCCGGCUUCUCCGCGCUGCUUAAGGGCUCCCCCGGCCACGCCCAUCCCCUCUCGCCACCUCCACGCCAAACACCACACCCCAUCACUCAGGCUGAGAAUCGCGUCCCUAAACCCCAGCCUCCACUCUCAGCAACCCAAGGACGCUGGCCUCAGCCUUGGCUUCUCUCCGCCCAGGACACCAGCCUCCCAGUCCUCGCUUUUUGGCCUCUGGGGCCCAAAGUUCGAAUUCUGUCCCCGGAAUGAAGGGGUGGGGAGCGGGGAAGGCCACUCUCUUUCCCAAACCCAAACUCCCAACUCCAAGCUCCUCCCCUCCUGAAGACCUUCUUCUACUAGGUAUCAGCCCCUUUCAACCAGAGCACAGAGGGGUUCCCAUCCCUCUCAAACCCAGGAGCCCAGACACCCAGGUCCCUCCUCCCUCAGACCCAGGAGUCCAGGCCCCCAGCCCCUCCUCCCUCAGACCCAGGACUCAGAGCCCCAGCCCCUCCUCCCUCAGACCCGGGAGUCCAGACUCCCAGCCCCUCCUCCCUCAGACGCGCAGGAUUCAGGACCCCCGUUCCCCUCCUCUUUCAGAUGGAUGACCUGUAUGAGUGCAGGUCUCAAGCCCUGUCCUCUCCAGAACCCGACUCCUGCUCCAUGCCCUAGUCUUUCUAGAGAGUCAGACACUUCCGACCCCAGCCCUUCCCACCCUGUGCACCCAGGAAUCCUGACCGCGGCUUCCACGCCGGGGAUUCCGCAGCCUCACCUCUCCCGCAGGCGGCUGCUGCCGAGCAGAGGCGGCAGCUGCAGACUGUAAGGGUUUGCUUACUGGGUGGGGUCAGCGGGCUGGGGCGGGGCCGGGGGCGGGGCCGGGGGCGGGGCCGGGGACCCGGCGGGAGCGCGGGUUUCGGGCUGAGAUAGGGACUCCCCGAGCCGGGGUAUCCCAGCCCCACCCCCGAGGCGGGGCCAAGAAAAGACCACGCCCCUCCCCGGAUACAAUGGACCGAGCCUCCCCAGCCAAGCCAGUGGUGGGGGUGGAGGGCUGAGGUCACUGUUGCCGUGGUGACAAAACAGGAAGACACAACAGCUGGCGGUGUGGAGGCUCCUGGGGGCUGCCCUCCCCGACUCGGCCCUCGCGCAGUCUCCAGGCGCGGCCCGAGAAGGCCGUUGCCAUGGCAACCCCUCUGUUUAGCGUCUGUUUAGGACGGAGCCCCCCGCCCAGGUCCCCCACCCCAGUCUCACCUCACUCAAUCCUCCCUCUCCCUUCCGGCCCCCUCCCCUCCCCGUCUGCUCCAGCCCCGCUCUUCCAGGACGCAUGAAAUCUUGGACAUCUGGGUGGCAGCCGGUUGGGAGACUAGGCCUCUCAGUUUAAUGGGGUCUGUGGGCUAGGGUCUCUGAAAGGCGAAAUAGUUGAGGCUGCUGAUCUCUAGGCUUUAAGGGGUUUCUGCGCUGAGGUCCCCGACUCCUGGGUCCCCAAAUCUUCAUUUAUACUGGGACUCGCGGUGUUAGGGAUUGGUGGGCGGGACUCCUGGGUCCCAGAUGUCACAGUCGAUGGGGGCAGGGGAAGGGCUGUUGAUCGCAAAACGCCUGGAUCUAGGGCGGUGGGAGUCGGAGGCACGGACUCCCAGGUUCCAAAUGACGCCUAGGCUGGAGGCCCAGAUUCUUGGCGCAAAAAGCCAUCAAAGCUCAGACUCCUGGGUUUUCAUCCGCUCAGAUGUGGGCGCAAGCCGAGCCUCCUAGGUCUGGAACGGAGAGAUAUUUUGGCCUGCAUUCCUGGUUCCCGGAUUGAGGGAGGGGCUCAGGAGCUCGAUGAGGACCGGGCUGGGAGGCAGGGGGCUUCAGAUUCCUGGUUUCUGCAAAAAGGGAGGGGCCCGAGUCGCCGGUCUGCCCGAGGCCCACAACAGGGAGGGGCUGCGGGGUCCUUUCUUAGGGCGACUCGGGGGCCCUGAAACUGAGGGACGGAGUCCAGAAGCAAGCUGAAGCUGAAGGUCGGGAUGCCUGCCCGGGGUAGGGGCGGGGACCGGGACGCCUGGGUCCCUCCCUGCUGGCCCUGCUCACUCACCGCGCUCUGCAGUCGUCCCCGGUGCGGCCUUGCUGGCGGCUGCCUCUGGGCGGGGCCUGGUGGCGGCUGCGGACGCUCCGCGACGCUGAGCUAACGGGGCGCUGCUGGGUGCCUUCCAGGAGGACAACUAAGGAGGCUUUGAGACCCAGCCCUAGGGUGGAAGGCGCGCGAGUCGCGACGGGGUGGGGUGGUGGGAAGGGGUCCGGGAGCCUGUCUAGCAGGCUGCGUGCCCUACGGAGGUGGGAGGGGCUGGGGGGCCUAGAAUCGGUGAGCUCGGCAGUAUGGGGGGGGCAUGGGGGGGAGGGAUGAGGAGCGUGCCUGCCCACUUUUGUGCCCCCGCAAAGGGGAUAGGCACAGACCCUCUCUGUCAUUUCUGUGCUCUGCAUAGGGGAGGGGGUCUCCAUGAGCCAGGCAUCCCGGCCCUGCCUAAGGAGUCAGGACACCGUGCGAGUUGGAGGUUCUCCGGCGUGGUCCCCGGGUUCCACUCAGACACCUCCUUGGCCCCCAGUGCAGAGGCAUCUCUCUCCCGCUUCCUGCCCCAGUCAGUCACCCUCUUUGACCCCCAUAGCGGCACUCAGAUACCCCAAAUAGUCCAGGGGUAGCCUCCACCCACACAAUUUACUAUGUUGUACUCUCUGGUGGAAAUGUUUUUCUUUAGGCACGAAAAGUCCAAAACAGCAGAGUUCAGGGUAGCAGGAAGAGGAAGCAAAUAUUGAAAGAAUGAGUCACUGGGUGUGAUCUUGAGAAGUGAUACCUUAGGGUUCCUGGGUAUGUAAUCUGGCACCAUGCAUGUGCCCCUGGUUCGGAGUGUUUGCCCAUCCUGUAGGACGGCCCCCAACACCAAGGAUGUUGUCUCCAACCUGGCACUGUAAUGCACUCUCAAACAGGCUAUACCUCUGUUUUAUGAAGCUCACUGCUUUGGGGGGAUGGGGUACAUGGGCCUGCCCACCCACUUCCUAAUAAAUGGAAUUCCUUGAUCAGAAGCAAUAUUGUGUGGGUCAACAUGAUGGUGAAUAGGGCCAUUCAGUGGGUACACAGAUGCUGCUGUUGGUGGGAGUGGGUAAGGAAAGGAAAGCAAAUAAAACCCAGAUUUAAUUAUUCCAGGGAGGAAAAAGUCAUUGCUCAAUUCAUGAUGGUGGGAGCCCAACAUAAUUCUCAGGUGACCAGGUGUUUGGCUGGUGUCCCUAGGAAACCUACCACGCUAGGGGCUCAGCGCUGCUCAAGGAAGCACUUUACUUAGUAUUACUGAUUUAUUACAAAGGAUGCAACUCCAGAACAGCCAAAUAGAAGAGACACAUAGGGCAAAGUAUGGAAGGAGAGAUGGAGAGCGUCCAUGUGGAAAUACCACCUCCCAGCACCCUGAUGCAUUUACCAACCUGUUUAGGAAUUUUAUGGAAGUUCCAUUACAUGGGAUGGUUGAUUAAAUCAUGGGCUAUCCAUGAUCAAGCUCAAUCUCCUCCAGGGAGGUCAGGGCUUAGGGCUGAAAAUUCCAACCUUCCAAUCACAGGAUUGGUUUCUCUGGCAGUCAGCCCCCAUCCUGAGCCACCUAGGGGCUCCCCGUGACUCAUCUCAUUAGCAUAAACUCAGGUAGGAUUGAAAGGGGCUUAUAUUGAAUAAAAGAUUCUCCUCUCACCCCAACCACUCAGGAAUUACAAGGGUUGGGAAUGCCUGGGUGGCUCAGUCGGUUGAGCGUCUGCCUUCAGCUCAGGUCAUGAUCCCAGGGGCCUGGGAUCGAGUCCCACAUCGGGCUCCCUGCUCAGCGGGGAGUCUGCUUCUCCCUCUGCUGCUCCCCGUGCUUGUGCUCUCUGUUUCUCUCUCUAUCUGACAAAUAAAUAAAUAAAAUAUUUUUUUAAAAAAAGGAAUUACAAGGGUUUUAGGGAGCUCUGUUCCAUCAAUAUCACAUGGAUCUUUCCAUACAUACUCCAGGUCCAUCUGAAACUUGCAUUCAUUCAUCAACAAAUAUUUAUGAGUGAGCACAAAGCAGGCUAAGGAAUACCUCCUCUCAUGGAGAUUUUAUCUCAUUUGUUAGUGGCAAAGGGCUUGAGAUGCAGUAACUUCAUCUGAAUGGGAUAUUCCCACUGUCAUCAGACUACCUGAUUCUCAGGUAACUUCCUUGAGGCGACAGGCUCCCGAUUUUCAUGGUGUUUAUCUCCCAUGCUCUGGCAUGUGUGUGUCUUAAUAAGACAUACAGUAUAUCUAUCUGCUCCGUCCUGCUUUUCAGGUCUUAUCUUCUCAGGUGUUAUCAGCAUUAGAUCAUAUAUGUGGUUCAAGUAUCUUAAAAAAAUAGAGAAUUAGUGUAACCCCAGGGGAAGGUAAGACAAUAUUGCUGUUUACCUGUGUUACUGUUCUCGGGCUGCAGUAACAAUCGUCACAAUCCCGGUGAUUCAGAACACAGAAAUUUAUUCUCUCGCCAUCCUGGAGGCCAGAAAUCUGAAAUCGAAUUAUCAGCAGGGCCUCACUUACUCUGAAGGCUCUAAGGAAGAAUGGGUUCCUUGCUUCUUCCAGCUUCUUGUAACUGUGGGUUCCUUGUCUUGUGGCCUCAUCACUCAGGUGUCUACCCCCUGUUGUUAUGCACCUUCUCUUCUCCUCUUCAGUCUGUCUCAAAUAUUCCCAUCCACCCCUUAUUAGGAUAUUAGGACAUUUACCAUAACCCAGGAUGAUCUCCUCUCCGCAAGAUCCCUAAGUUCAUCAUCACAUCAGCAAAGACCCUUUUCCUAAAUAAGACAGCAUUUAUAGGUUCCAGAGAUUUGGAUGUGGACAUAUCUCUGGGGCUACUAUUUAGCUACUACACCAUCCCUAAUGAAAGCAAACUGCAUCUAGUUCCUCUGUCUAUUGUGAUAGAGAUAAAUGGAUUGGCCAUUCUAGAUGCCACGGGCUGGGUUGAUUUCAUCCAGCAGGGAGUUCGCACCUGGAAUAGCAGCUGCAAUUGGAGUUACCCUGCUGGUGUCCCGUAUACCCAGCUGUGAACCUUGUGGAAGUGGGGAAGAACGAGGGGCAUUAGGGUCCUGUGUGUCCAGAUCUCAGUUUUCCCCAGAGAGGUUGGGUUUCUUGAGAUGAUGGAAACCCAUGACUCCGGCACCAUACAGGCGGGAGACUCCUAGAUGCUGGCUCUCAGUCACCACUACCCUGCUCCAGCUCCUCCCUGCUCAAAGCCUCAGAAACCCUUGCUUUAAGUCCUGUGGAAGUAUUCCACAAUCAGCAAAUCAAAUUCCCCUAUCAAAGCAACUUCAGCCUCUUCUUCUCCUUCUUCUUCUCCUCCUCCUCCUCCUUCUUCUUCUCCUCCUCCUCCUCCUUCUUCUUCUCCUCCUCAUUCUCUCUCUUUUUUUUUUAAGUGGGCUCUACACUCAACGUUAGAGUUGAUGCUAAGAGAGAGUUUAUGCUAAUGGGCUUGAACUCACAACCUUGAGAUCGAGAAUCACAGGCUGUACCCACUGAGGCAGUCAGGCACCCCAAAGCAACUUCUUUAAGUGUUUUUCUCUUGCCUUCAAUGAAACAAAUACACCCCUGGAGCACCUGAGUGGCUCAGUUGGUUAAGCAUCUGCCUUCAGCUCAGGUCAUGAUCCCGGGGUCCCAGGAUGGAGCCCCACAUAGGGCUCCCUGCUCAGUGGGGAGUCUGCUUCUCCCUCUCCCUCUGCCCUUCUUCCUGCCCCCCAUGCUCUCUCUCUCUCUCAAAUAAAUAAAUUAAAUAAAUAAAAUCUUAAAAAAGAGAGAGAGAGAAACAAAGUCCGCCUGCCCCCCAGCCUGUUCUCUGGCCAUACCACCUUUUUGUCACAUCUACUGACCUCCCGGUCACUUGCCCUCAUUUUCCACAUGGUUUUCUGACAUUCUCUAAAGAGCUUCCCAUGAGCAGGUCAUAGGUGGGCUGGGGGACAUUGAUUUCCUCAGCCCUCAGAGUGGCCUGAUUGCCUCUGUCUAUGGCAGGCUUAUCUGUUUACCUCAAUGAGCUGUAAAAAUAUCAUCGUGUUUCUAUUUUCCACAUGAUGGGAAGGCCUUUGGGAGGCACCUAGAGGAGAUGCAGCGUUGAUGGUGCUCUCCACUCCAUCAUCUGCUCAGUUUUCCACGCCCCUCUGACCUCAACCAUUCCUCCUUCUGCCUUGCUUUCUCAGGAGCCCCCACCAUGACCUUUUCUUUUUUUUUUUUUCCACCAUGACCUUUUCUUAACUUGAUAUGAACCCGCAUCUGCCCACCCUCUCUUUCCUUUGGGUAUGAUUCCAGGGUCCAUCAUUUCAAUAAUACUCUUGUCAUGUUAGGCAUCUAACACUCCUUUGCCCUUCUGUCUUUGUUUUGUUUUGUUAAGAUUUAUUUAUUUAUUUAUUUAUUUAUUUAUUUAUUUAUUUAUUUUAGAAAGGCAGGGAGGGGCAGAGGGAGAGGGAGAGAAUCUCAAGGAGACUCCCCGCUGAGUUCAGAGCCCCACAUGGGGCUCAAUCUCAAGACCCUGAGAUCAUGACCUGAGCUGAAAUCAAGAGUUGGACGCUUAACCAACUGAGCCACCCAGGCGCCCCUGCCCUUCUGUAUUUGUAAGGCCCCAGUCUUGGAGAAGAACUAGCCCAUCGAUCAGGUUUCGUUUUGUUUUUCCAAGCUUAUCCCUAAGCAACUGAGCGUUACUGAAGAAAGUCACCUUACAGUGCCGAAUGUUUCCACCAUGAAUAUGUGGUGGCCGAACCCUCCAUGAGCUCUCAACAUUGCCCACAGUCCCACUGCUAUCACCUGGUCAACUCAUCCUCGUUUCCAUGGUGACCAGUGCACUAUUUUUAUCCUCUUCAAUCUCGGACACACUUUCUGCCUCCAGCCCUCCCCCCUCCCAUUCUCAGCCUAUGACCUGCCUCCUUUAUUUGAGAGAUGAUAGAAAACAUCAUCUGGGAAGUCCCCCAGUCUCCUAAAACCACAGACCUGACUCUAUUUCCAGGACUACCUUCCUCUAACAAGUACAGAGUUGUUCUUUUUACCUCAUGCCAAUCCUUCUUAGCUUCGUGAUUUUUAUUUUUAUUUAUUUUUUUUUUAAAGAUUUUAUUUAUUUGACAGAGAGAGACACAGUGAGAGGGGGAACACUAGCAGGGGGAGUGGGAGAGGGAGAAGCAGGCUCCCCGCGGAGCAGGGAGCCCGAUGCGGGGCUCGAUCCCAGGACCCCGAGAUCAUGACCUGAGCCGAAGGCAGACGCUUAACGACUGAGCCACCCAGGCGCCCCGCUUUGUGAUUUUUAAAUACAUCCUUCUCCUCAUACCCUUGCUAUUGCUAUUACUAUCCAUCUUCUUUUUGGAUAGUCAGUAUCUCCCACUCAAAGAAUCUUUCACUGACUUUUCAAAAAAUGAUAGUUAUAUUUAAUUGUGGUAAAAGUGCACGUAACAUAAAAUUUACCUUUUAGAUCAUCUUUAAGUGUACAGUUCAGUGGCAUUGGGUAUAACCACGCUGUGACCAUGUGAAGACGCAGAAAAGAUGGCAGUCUACAAGCCAAGGAGAGGAACUUCAGAAAAAAAACAAUCGCACAUUGAUCUGGGGUUUCUAACUUGCACAACUGUGAGGAAAUGAACUUCUGUUUAUUUCUGUAAAUUCUGUAAAUUUCUAUAUCACCCAGUCCAUGGUACUUUCUUAUGGACCCUCUCCCCCCCGCCCCAGCAAACUAAUAUGGAUAACUGAUGCUGUUGGUAUCUCCUUCCAACCUGAAACACUGUCCUCUAGGAUUACGUGGCACAUCAUUCUCCUGGUUUUCCUUUUGCCUCUUUGGGCUCCUUCUCUGACUCCUUUGUAAGCUCAUGCUCCUUUGAUACUAGAGUUCCUCAAAACUCUUCCUGAGCCCCUGCUCUUCUCAUGACCCACUCUUGCUAGGGGAUCCCAUACACACCAGACUUCGGGUGGAACCAAUGGGUAAACAACCCAUGUACUAGUGAAGAUCCUAGCUGAGCAAAGGCAAGAUAUCAGUGGCUGAAACAAGGGCUGACCAAUAAAAACAAUAAUGUGAGCCAUGUGUGCAAUUUUAAAUUUUCUAGUAGCCACAUUAAAAUGAAAUAGAAGGAGGGGCGCCUGGGUGGCUCAGUUGGUUAAGCGACUGCCUUUGGCUCAGGUCAUGAUCCUGGAGUCCCUGGAUCGAGUCCCGCACGGAGCAGGGAGCCUGCUUCUGCCUCUGACCCUCCCCCCUCUCAUGUGCUCUCUCUCUCUCAUUCUCUCUGUCUCAAAUAAAUAAAAAUUAAAAAAAAAUAUUAAAAAAAAAUGAAAUAGAAGGAAAGGGUUAAUCUUAACAACAUAUUUAAUCCAAUACAUCAAAAAUUUCAACAUAUGACACUAGCCACGUUUCCAAUGUUCAACAGGCCCAUGUGGCCAAUGGCUGCCGUAUUAGACAAUACAGACCUACGCAAGAUAAUGAUAUAUUUCUCUCUCUUCUAGCAGUCCAAGAGUUAGCAAUCCAGGGUUGAUAUGAUACCUCCACCGUCUCGAGGAACCAUUCUCUCUUGUUGCUUCAACAAGGGCUUCUGUCUGGGAUCCAGCAUGUGAUCCAGAUCAUACCCCUAUGUUGGCAUUGCCUCCAGCAGGAAGAGGGGAACAGGGAGAGGUUGGCAUUCUUCCUUCUUUUCGAGGGUGUAAUCCUGAAAUUGCAUUGUCCAGAACUUAGCUGCAUGACCACGCGGAGCUAUAAGGGAGACUGGGGGAAUCUAGUCUUCAGCUGGGGAGACAUAUGUCCAGAUAAACCUUCUAUUACAGAGGAGAGAAAUUGGGGAAAACUACUGAUAGGAAUAGACUACAACUCAUAGAAAUAGACUGCAACCCAGAUCUGUGCGCUCCAGAUGUGUGUUUCCAGGUGCCCCCGUGCCUCCCCGCGGAUGACACAGAAGUCCAAACUCAACACAUCUACAAUGAACAGAAGACCUUUCCUCCAAAAAGGAGGAACACACAGCACACACCACCAGUGAGUAUCGCCAGCCCUCAUCCAGUUGCAGAAGGCAGAAUGCUAAGUCAUCACGGAUCACCUCAGCCCCUACAUCCAGGACACCCCUAAGUCCUGUCAUGUUUGCUUCCUGUAUUUCCUCUCAGAUUCACCAACUUCUGUACAUCUCUGUACUAGUCACAUAUUGCUGGAUAAUAAAUUUCUCCAGAACUCA